CACAGUCAGGACUACAGAUUAUUUUUCCUACUUGAGCUUGUCUGUAUUGCAGCUGUGUUUCCCUUCUCCUGCUCUGGUUCUCAAGGGCACAGGUGAGGAUAGCGUUAAAUAUCCAUGGUGAUGUGUUAGCCCAAUCCCAUGCAGCACACACCACAGGCUCAGAGUGACGAAACGAAUGCUGUCUCCACCAGUAGAAUUACUGUGAGUAGCGGAAAAGAAAAGGGCGGGGUUGGGGGGGUAAUACACUCUCCCCCCACUUAAAACAAUAGUUGGGCCUUACCUUUGUUUUCCAGGCACACAGCCAGGCCUCCCCUGUCGUCGUGGGUGGUCUUUGCUCUGUGUUCCCCAGCAGCCCCUGCUCAUCGCCAGGGCUUCUGUUGACGUCUCUCUGCUCACAGGUUUUGAAAUUCAUUCUCCAGUGGAUCCCCGGGAAGUGCUUUUGGGGACAGUAUUCCCUGAGUCCUUGCGUGCUGGGUAUAAAAAAUCCUUUUUGAUCCUUUGAAUGUCUUAAGUGUGUCACUGCACUUUCUUCUGGCGUAGAUCGUUAUUGUCAAACAGAAUGAUGAUAAGCCAAUCUUCUUGGCCUUGUAAGUUGCUUACUGUUUUGCCUAAAUACCCAAACAAAGGCCAUUUUUUCUUUUGCUUUGAAGCCCAGUAAUUUUACUAAAAUGUGUCUGGUGUUGUGGGUCGUCCAUGGUCAGUGUUCUCAUAUAUGCUGCUGAGUGUUUUCAGUAAGUACUUUCUAAUCUUUUUUUAAUUUCAGGGAAAAUGUUCUUGAAUUAUAGUUUUAAGCAUUUGUUCUGUUCCUUGUAUUUGGUUUUGGUCUCUAUGGAAACUCCCAUUACCCAUAUAAUUGGAGUUAGGUCCUCUGUGGAGUUGGGUCACCUGUGGAGUUGGGUCCCCUGUGGAGUUGGGUCUUCUGUGGAGUUGGGUCCCCUGUGGAGUUGGGUCCCCUGUGGAGUUGGGUCUUCUGUGGAGUUGGGUCCCCUGUGGAGUUGGGUCUUCUGUGGAGUUGUGUCUUCUGUGGAGUUGGGUCCCUUGUGGAGUUGGGUAUUCUGUGGAGUUGGGUCCCCUGUGGAGUUGUGUCUUCUGUGGAGUUGGGUCCCCUGUGGAGUUGUGUCUUCUGUGGAGUUGGGUCCCCUGUGGAGUUGAGUCCCCUGUGGAGUUGGG
rnacentral:lncRNA from 1 species